GAUGAACGCUGGCGGCGUGCCUAAUACAUGCAAGUCGAGCGAACAGACGAGGAGCUUGCUCCUCUGACGUUAGCGGCGGACGGGUGAGUAACACGUGGAGAACCUACCUAUAAGACUGGGAUAACUUCGGGAAACCGGAGCUAAUACCGGAUAAUAUAUUGAACCGCAUGGUUCAAUAGUGAAAGACGGUUUUGCUAUCACUUAUAGAUGGAUCCGCGCCGCAUUAGCUAGUUGGUAAGGUAACGGCUUACCAAGGCAACGAUGCGUAGCCGACCUGAGAGGGUGAUCGGCCACACUGGAACUGAGACACGGUCCAGACUCCUACGGGAGGAAGCAGUAGGGAAUCUUCCGCAAUGGGCGAAAGCCUGACGGAGCAACGCCGCGUGAGUGAUGAAGGUCUUCGGAUCGUAAAACGCUGUUAUUAGGGAAGAACAAAUGUGUAAGUAACUAUGAACGUCUUGACGGUACCUAAUCAGAAAGCCACGGCUAACUACGUG
rnacentral:rRNA from 1 species